UACAGAGGGUGCAAGCGUUAAUCGGAAUUACUGGGCGUAAAGCGAGCGUAGUCGGUUAUUUAAGUCGGGUGUGAAAGCCCCGGGCUCAACCUGGGAAUUGCAUUCGAUACUGGAUAGCUAGAGUUCGGCAGAGGGAAGCGGAAUUUCCGGUGUAGCGGUGUAAUGCGUAGAUAUUCGGAAGAACACCAGUGGCGAAGGCGACUUACUGGACACAUAUUGACGCUGAGGUGCGAAAGCGUGGGGAGCAAACAGG
rnacentral:rRNA from 1 species